UUUAAGGGUUGGCAGUGGAGGCAAGGGUAUCUUACUGGAGGUCUCUAUCUACUUGAGUCUUUCCAAAGAGUGGUCACCUGUGGCCCUAUGAGUUGUCUCUGGCCAGGUCCAGGACCAGAUAAUUAAUGAGGAGACAGAAAAACACUGAGAAUCCCAGAAGUUUGCCAGAAAAGCAGAUUUGGUUGAAAAGGCAUUUGUGGUGCUUUGGACAGAAUACGCGAGUUCACACCAGGGGACCUGCACUACAUUCCUGGAUGGUCUGCUGCCUUCUCCAAGUGCCUCAUACACCAGGUUUCUUCUCGUCAUUGGAUGCUGCUGUACAACUGUAUCUUUAGCAACCCUGUACAUCUGUGGAUCAAAUGUAUGAUCAUGAGGCAAAAGAAGAGAUGAAGUCUGUAAGGGAUCUCCUAACUAGAUAUGCCAGGCAUGAAAAGAGAUGAAUCAAAAUAAGAAUAAUUGAAGAAUACUCACCCUUUCCCUCAGGGAAAGAAUUAAGAGCAUCACUGCAACUGCUUGGAAACAGCCCAAAAGUCAAGCUGUCAGAAGAAUGGCAAAAGAACAGAAUGCAAGAAAAAAAAAAAACCUCAUAACUGAAUUGCCGUCUGAACUGAAAACGCUGAAGAAAACGAAAUGACUAGACCAUCCAAUUUUUCAUUGGCCACAGAAUCCACUGCCCUCUCAUUGUCAGACAGGCACUGUUGUCGCUGUGAGUUCCUUUGGGAUCAAGCCUCUCCUUAGCAUCACCAUUGUCAACGCAUUUGGCUGGCCCACAGUUGGAGGACUUAUGUUUCACUGUAAUUUCUUCCAAAACAUUCAGAAAAGGCUCUCACUCUCUCCUUCUCAUUAGCUUGAUGGAAAGAGCAUGUCUUCAAGCAGCUAUUUAAAGUUCCAGUCAAAUGGAACUACAGAAAGCUGUUCUUUCAUAAGCAGGGUCAAAAUUAUUUGAUAGGGUAAAAAUGUCAUAAGGCUUAUGUCAUUGGGAAAGAAGCAAACAUUAUACCAUUGUAUUUCCAGUACACUUUCAAAGUCUUUUUUUUCCACCACUUGCAGCCUCAGAGACCUUGUAUUUCAGUGAGUUAUCAUCCUUAUAUUGU